rnacentral:rRNA from 1 species
UACAGAGGAGGCAAGCGUUGAUCGGAAUCAUUGGGCUUAAAGCGCGUGUAGGCGGUCUCGUAAGUGUUGCGUGAAAUCCCACGGCUCAACCGUGGAACUGCGCGGCAUACUGCGGGACUUGAGGUCGGUAGAGGUGCCUGGAACUCUAGGUGGAGCGGUGAAAUGCGUAGAUAUCUAGAGGAACGCCGGAGGCGAAAGCGGGGCACUGGGCCGAUUCUGACGCUGAGACGCGAAAGCGUGGGGAGCAAAC